rnacentral:rRNA from 3 species
GGGUUGUGAGGUUAAGCGACUAAGCGUACACGGUGGAUGCCCUGGCAGUCAGAGGCGAUGAAGGGCGUGCUAAUCUGCGAUAAGCGCCGGUAAGGUGAUAUGAACCGUUAUAACCGGCGAUACCCGAAUGGGGAAACCCAGUGUGACUCGUCACACUAUCAUUAACUGAAUCCAUAGGUUAAUGAGGCGAACCGGGGGAACUGAAACAUCUAAGUACCCCGAGGAAAAGAAAUCAA